rnacentral:rRNA from 1 species
GCACCUUCGGUGUCCGAGUUGUAAUUUGAAGAAGGUAACUUUGGAGUUGGCUCUUGUCUAUGUUCCUUGGAACAGGACGUCACAGAGGGUGAGAAUCCCGUGCGAUGAGAUGUCCAACUCUAUGUAAAGUGCUUUCGAAGAGUCGAGUUGUUUGGGAAUGCAGCUCUAAGUGGGUGGUAAAUUCCAUCUAAAGCUAAAUAUUGGCGAGAGACCGAUAGCGAACAAGUACAGUGAUGGAAAGAUGAAAAGAACUUUGAAAAGAGAGUGAAAAAGUACGUGAAAUUGUUGAAAGGGAAGGGUUUGAGAUCAGACUUGGUAUUUUGUAUGUCUUGCUUUCGGGUGGGGCCUCUGCAGUUUACUGGGCCAGCAUCGGUUUGGACGGUA